rnacentral:rRNA from 1 species
UACGUAGGGGGCAAGCGUUGUCCGGAAUCAUUGGGCGUAAAGCGCGUGUAGGCGGCCCGGUAAGUCCGCUGUGAAAGUCGGGGGCUCAACCCUCGAAUGCCGGUGGAUACUGUCGGGCUAGAGUGCGGAAGAGGCGAGUGGAAUUCCUGGUGUAGCGGUGAAAUGCGCAGAUAUCAGGAGGAACACCUGCGGCGAAGGCGGGUUGCUGGGCUGACACUGACGCUGAGGUGCGAAAGCGUGGGGAGCAAACAGG